UGGGGAAUAUUGGACAAUGGGGGCAACCCUGAUCCAGCCAUGCCGCGUGUGUGAAGAAGGCCUUCGGGUUGUAAAGCACUUUAAGUGGGGAGGAAGGCUCGUACGUGAAUAUCGUGCGGGAGUGACGUUACCCACAGAAUAAGCACCGGCAAACUCCGUGCCAGCAGCCGCGGUAAUACGGAGGGUGCGAGCGUUAAUCGGAAUUACUGGGCGUAAAGCGCACGUAGGCGGUUCGUUAAGUCGGAUGUGAAAUCCCUGGGCUCAACCUGGGACCUGCAUUCGAUACUGGCGAGCUUGAGUACGAGAGAGGGGGGUGGAAUUCCAGGUGUAGCGGUGAAAUGCGUAGAUAUCUGGAGGAACAUCAGUGGCGAAGGCGGCCCCCUGGCUCGAUACUGACGCUGAGGUGCGAAAGCGUGGGGAGCAAACAGG
rnacentral:rRNA from 1 species